GGGAAACUGCCCGAUGGAGGGGGAUAACUACUGGAAACGGUAGCUAAUACCGCAUAACGUCGCAAGACCAAAGUGGGGGACCUUCGGGCCUCACACCAUCGGAUGUGCCCAGAUGGGAUUAGCUAGUAGGUGGGGUAAUGGCUCACCUAGGCGACGAUCCCUAGCUGGUCUGAGAGGAUGACCAGCCACACUGGAACUGAGACACGGUCCAGACUCCUACGGGAGGCAGCAGUGGGGAAUAUUGCACAAUGGGCGCAAGCCUGAUGCAGCCAUGCCGCGUGUAUGAAGAAGGCCUUCGGGUUGUGAAGUACUUUCAGCGGGGAGGAAGGCGGUGAAGUUAAUAGCUUCACCGAUUGACGUUACCCGCAGAAGAAGCACCGGCUAACUCCGUGCCAGCAGCCGCGGUAAUACGGAGGGUGCAAGCGUUAAUCGGAAUUACUGGGCGUAAAGCGCACGCAGGCGGUCUGUCAAGUCGGAUGUGAAAUCCCCGGGCUUAACCUGGGAACUGCAUUCGAAACUGGCAGGCUAGAGUCUUGUAGAGGGGGGUAGAAUUCCAGGU
rnacentral:rRNA from 1 species